CCAUUGAUUUAUGAGUUAUACUACCAUUUGAAAAACUUACAAACUCUAACAAUUCUACUACACGUAGUAGAUGCGUGGUAGUAAUAGUAUAAAUGGAUAUGAUCCAUUGAAUUAGAAAAAGGAAACGUUUUAAAUUAGUUCCAGUGUAAAACACCUCCCAUAACGUAUGUUAGUGGUAGGUGCUGCAUUGAAACAGAAAUGUAACAUUGCUAUGGUCAAUGGUACCUACAGCUCUAUAUAUACAUGGAAGAGUAGACUGUCGAUGAAGGAGCUGCAGCGAUGCUCAAGCUAAGAGAUGAUAGAUGGACAUUUCUUGUUGCUUUGGUCAGAAUAGGAUGCAUCAGGAGUUGCCAUGCCACAAGAAUCAUGUUCAGAUCUGCGAGCAAGAGGUAGAGGACAAAUGCUUGAGCAUAGCGGUUCAUCAGAAUUAUGAACAGUUCUCAUUCAGAAAGGGAAUGUUGGAGCUAGUAUUCUCUCUGCGGUGCAGCCAUGCAAAUCCUCUUGUUUAUAAAAGCAGAUUGACUGAUAACCGAUGUCGAUGCUCCAUGUAGAGUGGUUUAUGGUCCAAGGGGUUGGGACAGUGGCAGCCAUGUGAUGAAUUCACAAAGACCACUACUGUUCCACCGUACAACUCGAAGAACUCAUGGUGCUGCGGUGAAGCUCCUUGUGUCUGCGGAAGUGACGAAUGCACGAAGUAGAUCAUUGUGGUAAAGUUCACAUGUGAAUAAUUGUUGGAAUUCAGUUUAAUUUGGUCUAGCAGAUAAAGGGAUUUGUGCAAAAUCAAAGUGUUUUUUAUUAUUAUUCUAUCAUGAACAAUUGGCAUCUGUGAUUAUUGGUUUUAA